GACGAACGCUGGCGGCGCGCUUAACACAUGCAAGUCGAACGGAAAGGCCUGCUUUCCCUUGUGGAUUGCGGGUACUCGAGUGGCGAACGGGUGAGUAACACGUGAGUGAUCUGCCCCCAACUUGGGUAUAAGCCUGGGAAACUGGGUCUAAUUCCCGAUAGGACUGCAGGGUGGUGCCUGUGGUGGAAAACGAUUUUCUAGUGGUUGGGGAUGAGCUCGCGGCCUAUCAGCUUGUUGGUGGGGUAAUGGCCUACCAAGGCGGCGACGGGUAGCCGGCCUGAGAGGGGGGACGGCCACAUUGGGACUGAGAUACGGCCCAGACUCCUACGGGAGGCAGCAGUGGGGAAUAGUGCACAAUGGGCGGAAGCCUGAUGCAGCGACGCCGCGUGGGGGAUGACGGCCUUCGGGUUGUAAACUCCUUUCGACCGCGAGGAAGCCACCUGGUUGGAAGGGUGGUGACGGUAGUGGUAGAAGAAGCACCGGCUAACUACGUG
rnacentral:rRNA from 1 species